GAUGAACGCUGGCGGCGUGCCUAAUACAUGCAAGUCGAGCGAACAGACGAGGAGCUUGCUCCUCUGACGUUAGCGGCGGACGGGUGAGUAACACGUGGGUAACCUACCUAUAAGACUGGGAUAACUUCGGGAAACCGGAGCUAAUACCGGAUAAGAUGUUGAACCGCAUGGUUCAACAGUGAAAGACGGUCUUGCUGUCACUUAUAGAUGGAUCCGCGCCGCAUUAGCUAGUUGGUAAGGUAACGGCUUACCAAGGCAACGAUGCGUAGCCGACCUGAGAGGGUGAUCGGCCACACUGGAACUGAGACACGGUCCAGACUCCUACGGGAGGCAGCAGUAGGGAAUCUUCCGCAAUGGGCGAAAGCCUGACGGAGCAACGCCGCGUGAGUGAAGAAGGUCUUCGGAUCGUAAAACUCUGUUAUUAGGGAAGAACAAAUGUGUAAGUAACUAUGCACGUCUUGACGGUACCUAAUCAGAAAGCCACGGCUAACUACGUG
rnacentral:rRNA from 1 species